rnacentral:rRNA from 1 species
AUAUCGACGUAGUUUGAUCCUGGCUCAGAACGAACGCUGGCGGCAUGCCUAACACAUGCAAGUCGAACGAAGGCUUCGGCCUUAGUGGCGCACGGGUGCGUAACGCGUGGGAAUCUGCCCUUGGGUUCGGAAUAACUCAGAGAAAUUUGAGCUAAUACCGGAUGAUGACGUAAGUCCAAAGAUUUAUCGCCCAAGGAUGAGCCCGCGUAAGAUUAGCUAGUUGGUGGGGUAAAGGCCUACCAAGGCGACGAUCUUUAGCUGGUCUGAGAGGAUGAUCAGCCACACUGGGACUGAGACACGGCCCAGACUCCUACGGGAGGCAGCAGUGGGGAAUAUUGGACAAUGGACGGAAGUCUGAACCAGCCAUCCCGCGUGCAGGAUGACUGCCCUAUGGGUUGUAAACUGCUUUUAGCAGAGACGAAACGCCUUCAUUUAUGAGGGUCUGACGGUAUCUGCAGAAUAAGCACCGGCUAACUCCGUG